CAGUCGCCGCGGUAAUACGUAGGGUGCAAGCGUUAAUCGGAAUUACUGGGCGUAAAGCGUGCGCAGGCGGUUAUAUAAGUCAGAUGUGAAAUCCCCGGGCUCAACCUGGGAACUGCAUUUGAGACUGUAUGGCUAGAGUGUGUCAGAGGGGGGUAGAAUUCCACGUGUAGCAGUGAAAUGCGUAGAUAUGUGGAGGAAUACCGAUGGCGAAGGCAGCCCCCUGGGAUAACACUGACGCUCAUGCACGAAAGCGUGGGGAGCAAACAGGAUUAGAUACCCGAGUAGUCCCUGUCUCUUAUAC
rnacentral:rRNA from 1 species